rnacentral:rRNA from 1 species
UUCCGGUGAUCCUGCCGGACCCCACUGCUAUCGGGAUGGGACUAAGACAUGCUAGUCGAGCGUCUCUAAGCUAUGGAAGAGACGCGGCACACAGCUCAGUGACACGUGGCUAACCUGCCCUGGGACAAGGACAACUCCGGGAAACUGGGGCUAAUCCUGAUAGGUGAGAACUCCUGGAAUGGAUUCUCGCUGAAAGGACGUUUAGACCAUGCUUCUAGGCGUCGCCCAAGGAGGGGGCCGCGACCGAUCAGGUUGUUGGUGAGGUAACGGCUCACCAAGCCUUUAACCGGUACGGGCCGUGAGAGCGGAAGCCCGGAGAUGGGCACUGAGACAAGGGCCCAGGCCCUACGGGGCGCAGCAGUCGCGAAAACUCCGCAAUACACGAAAGUGUGACGGGGCUGUCCCGAGUGCCAUCCGCUGAGGAUGGCUUUUCCCCAGUGUAUAAAGCUGGGGGAAUAAGGAGAGGGCAAGCCUGGUGUCAGCCGCCGCGGUAAUACCAGCUCUCCGAGUGGUGGGGAUGUUUAUUGGGCCUAAAGCAUUCGUAGCCUGCUUGGCAAGUCCUCCGUUAAAUCCAACGAUUCAAUCGUUGGGCUGCGGGGGAUACUGUCCGGCUAGGGGGCGGGAGAGGCCGACGGUAUCCCCGGGGUAGGGGUGAAAUCCUAUAAUCCCGGGAGGACCACCAGUGGCGAAGGCUGUCGGCUAGAACGCGCUCGACGGUGAGGGAUGAAAGCUGGGGGAGCGAACCGGAUUAGAUACCCGGGUAGUCCCAGCUGUAAACGAUGCAGGCUAGGUGUUGGCGCGGCUACGUGCCGCUCCAGUGCCGCAGGGAGGCCGUUAAGCCUGCCGCCUGGGAAGUACGGCCGCAAGGCUGAAACUUAAAGGAAUUGGCGGGGGAGCACCACAAGGUGUGAAGCUUGCGGUUUAAUUGGAUUCAACGCCGGA